ACCCGCCAGCCCCGCGCUCUACCAGGCAGAGCGCGUGUGGCCGCCGAGCACAUGGACCCACUGGUCAAGCGGGCUCGGCAAGGCCAGGAUGAAGAGAAGCUACGAACUUAGCAUUCCCAGAGCCCCCCGAGUGGAUAUCCGCGUGGAAAGGAUGUUGGCAGCCCCGGUGACCUCGGAGUCACGGCUGGAUCCACCCUCUUUAUACCCUUUAAGCGUUCCAGAAGGAUUUUGAGAUCCUUUCCUAAAUCAAAGGUGGAAUAUUUGGGGAUUUGGAAAAUUGAGAUGUGAAGCGUUGACUUAAGAGAUGCCAAGUAACUCAGCAGAUGUCACACAGACGAUAAAUAGCAAAGAUGGAAGUCUUCAUGCCGGAGGCAAUCCUAUAAGACAGCUGAGUUCUGCAGAGCUGGUAGGAGACAGACUUGCUCAGGUGAUAGAUCCAGCCAUGAUACUGACCCUAAGAGAAUGAGACGCUCUGCAGAAGACAGAAGAUUCCUGAAACUGGGAAAGGUGCCUAGAAAUCCUGAUAAGAGUGAAGAAGGGUACCUGGAGGCACAGCAGCCAUGUUGAACCUAUGAGGUGAUGAAAAACCAUGCAACUAGAAACCAGAAUGGAAGAAAAGAAGAAGCUGGAUCCUUGACUGAAUUGUCGAUGGGGGAUAGUCCAUCAUCCCAGGGCUAAGACCACCUCCAGAUUUCUUGUUUGGUGAAACAAGUCCUGAUUGUUUACAUUCCCUCGUGUUGAGCUGUCUCUUGCUUGUAGCUGAAAGCAUUUCUAAUAGAUAUUCAGAUUAUCAGCCUUAGCUCCAAGCUAGAAUACUCUAUGGGACCUUAGCUUCUCCAUGAAUUCCUUUGCUCAUCUGUGUAAUGCUCAAUAAAUGUAAAUUGAACCCUGAAUGAGGGACAAUGACACUA
rnacentral:lncRNA from 1 species